rnacentral:rRNA from 1 species
UACGGAGGGCGCUAGCGUUGCUCGGAAUGACUGGGCGUAAAGGGCGCGUAGGCGGAUGGCACAGUCAGAUGUGAAAUUCCCGGGCUUAACCUGGGGGCUGCAUUUGAUACGUGUUGUCUUGAGUUCGGAAGAGGGUCGUGGAAUUCCCAGUGUAGAGGUGAAAUUCGUAGAUAUUGGGAAGAACACCGGUGGCGAAGGCGGCGACCUGGUCCGACACUGACGCUGAGGCGCGAAAGCGUGGGGAGCAAACAGG